GUGGGGAAUCUUAGACAAUGGGCGCAAGCCUGAUCUAGCCAUGCCGCGUGAGCGAUGAAGGCCUUAGGGUUGUAAAGCUCUUUCAGGGGGGAAGAUAAUGACGGUACCCCCAGAAGAAGCCCCGGCUAACUCCGUGCCAGCAGCCGCGGUAAUACGGAGGGGGCUAGCGUUGUUCGGAAUUACUGGGCGUAAAGCGCACGUAGGCGGACCAGAAAGUCAGGGGUGAAAUCCCGGGGCUCAACCCCGGAACUGCCUUUGAAACUCCUGGUCUUGAGGUCGAGAGAGGUGAGUGGAAUUCCGAGUGUAGAGGUGAAAUUCGUAGAUAUUCGGAGGAACACCAGUGGCGAAGGCGGCUCACUGGCUCGAUACUGACGCUGAGGUGCGAAAGCGUGGGGAGCAAACAGGAUUAGAAACCCUGGUAGUCC
rnacentral:rRNA from 1 species